UUUAACUUAAAAAAAACUGUAAGGUUUUAAGUCACCAAAAAUCUUGAAAAGCUGUUUUUAGGUAGACAUUCCUGAAACAUAAUUAUUUUCAAAGAGUUUAUCCGAAAGCUUUUGAUUUCAUUUUGGACAAUGUUACAUAUAGAUGUAUAAUAUUCAGACAGAGAUCUCAAAUCAGAUAUUUCAAUAGAGAAGUUAUCAGUUUAUAAAUAAUAGUUGGAAUAAACUGAAUUUACUCACUUGGGUUUACAAGGCUUCUCCCCCCACCUUUUUUCCGCUUUUCUUGAAGUUCUACCAAUUAACCUAAAGCUAAAUUCUUAGGAGUGGACUGUGUUUGUAUUAACAUUUCAAGGACAUGAUUUAAGAGUUAACUUCAAGCUUUCUCCUAGGCAUAUUUUUGUUCUCUUUGCAGUCAAAAUUCUGAAAACAGCAUUUCAUCUAGCCAGUGUUCUCUAAGUGUACUUCCCAAUACAAAUGGGCCUCCGCAUCAGAAACACGUCAGAACCAACUGGCAAAACAUCCACAUAGCACUUCGAGCUCAAAAGAGAAGUUGCCAGGCGCACAUUGCUGAACUUACUGGGUCUGGGAGCUCGUCAGCUUGUCCAGAGGUGUCUUCUCAUUCCACCAAGGAAAAGCACAUAUGGGCAGCCAGUGCUGAGCAGAGGAGAAGCAGGAAGGACCCCCGAAACCAAUGCUUUAGGCAGCUGCUAGGAAUAUCCUCCCCAAACCUCUUCCUGGGGCCAGCGAGGCUCCUCACAGCCUUCCUAGCACGUCGUCACGGCAGCAGCACCAAUGGAGAAACCCCCAGGAGCCAGAUAUCGCGAGAGCACAGCCUCACGUUGGCGCCAAAAUCUGUUAGCGAAAGUGAGCCCAGCUGCUUCCCGCUGGAAAGCCAAUAAAGAGGAAGGGGGACCCCUUCCAGGGCCCGAAAGUGGGCUCUUGUCUAACACUCAGAAAUGAAUUGUCCAAGGAGACACACGUGCUGACAAAGCAAGAGAUUUUAUUAGGAAGAGGCGCCCCGGUGGAGAGCAGCAGGGAGGUUGUGUAGAGGAUGGGGCGGCCGCCGCCUUUAGAAUCUGCAGCUCACCCUGCGCUCAGCCUGCAGUCACAGAGACUGAAGGGAGACGCACAGAUACAGUCCUGUGUGAAGGAAAGCUGCACGGCGCAAAACAGCCUGGAGCUAAAACUCCCCUCCAGGUCCUUCCCACCAUUCUAUACAGAAUAAAGAGCUUUCUCCCCUGAAGAAAGGAAGGGACAUGAAGACUGAUUACGUUCAGCUCCCAGCCGAUCCCAGUCUCCGGCUGGUAUCAGGAAUUCCUUACCCCAGUUGUUGAAAGCUAACUAAUCAAAAAUAAUCAUGAGGAAAAGAGACCCCCUCAAAAUGAUGCACCUCCGCAUAUAUAUGUUUUCUAUAUAUACCUACUCUCUUCUCAGUCCAUUAAUCGGACUGCUGCCCCUUCUCGUCCCAUUAAAGG
ensembl:lncRNA